GUGAAGUUUCCCUGCAUCCUGUGAGUUUCUUCUGACUCACCUGAGCCUGGUCAGGAGGAGUGCAGCAGCCAAGAUCAUUCCAUCACCCACUUUAAGAGAGGAUAGACCCGUAGCAUCACCUUUCCAGGCAUAGUAGCAGCAAGCGGCCAGACACUGUAAAGCGUGCGUAAGGAGACCAGAUAACAAGCUGUCAGUGGAAGAAUGAAGAGAUAUCUCCUGCACAGGAGGCCAAGCCGGAUACUCCCUACUUGGCGGUCUGAUAAGCAUUGUGGACAUCUUGGAUGGUGGAAAAGGAACCUGGGAACUGAUGGAUCUGCAGCUGAGAAAAUGAAAAGCAGGUUACCAGGU